GCUUGCGGCCACACUGGCCUGAGUACGCCUGAUCUCGUCCGAUCUCGGAAGCUAAGCAGGGUCGGGCCUGGUUAGUACUUGGAUGGGAGACCGCCUGGGAAUACCAGGUGCUGUAAGCU
ensembl:rRNA 5S_rRNA 5S ribosomal RNA